GCUGGUGUAGCUCAACGGUAGAGCAGCGCAUUCGUAAUGCGCAGGUUAGCGGUUCGAAUCCGCUCACCAGCU
rnacentral:tRNA from 1 species